rnacentral:rRNA from 1 species
GAUGAACGCUGGCGGCGUGCCUAAUACAUGCAAGUCGAGCGAACGGACGAGGAGCUUGCUUCUCUGACGUUAGCGGCGGACGGGUGAGUAACACGUGGAUAACCUACCUAUAAGACUGGGAUAACUUCGGGAAACCGUAGCUAAUACCGGAUAAUAUUUUGAACCGCAUGGUUCAAUAGUGAAAGACGGUUUUGCUGUCACUUAUAGAUGGAUCCGCGCUGCAUUAGCUAGUUGGUAAGGUAACGGCUUACCAAGGCAACGAUGCGUAGCCGACCUGAGAGGGUGAUCGGCCACACUGGAACUGAGACACGGUCCAGACUCCUACGGGAGGCAGCAGUAGGGAAUCUUCCGCAAUGGGCGAAAGCCUGACGGAGCAACGCCGCGUGAGUGAUGAAGGUCUUCGGAUCGUAAAACUCUGUUAUUAGGGAAGAACAUAUGUGUAAGUAACUGUGCACAUCUUGACGGUACCUAAUCAGAAAGCCACGGCUAACUACGUG